rnacentral:rRNA from 1 species
GUCUACGGCCAUACCACCCUGAAAGCACCUGAUCUUGUAUGAUCUCGGAAGCUAGGCAGGGUCAGGCCUGGUUAGUACUUGGAUGGGAGACCACCUGGGAAUACUGGGUGCUGUAGGCU